CCUACGGGUGGCUGCAGUGGGGAAUCUUGCACAAUGGGCGAAAGCCUGAUGCAGCGACGCCGCGUGAAGGAUGACGGCCUUCGGGUUGUAAACUUCUUUUGCAGGGGAAGAUAAUGACGGUACCCUUCGAAUAAGCCACGGCUAACUCUGUGCCAGCAGCCGCGGUAAGACAGAGGUGGCGAGCGUUGUUCGGAAUUACUGGGCUUAAAGGGCGCGUAGGCGGUGAUGUAAGUCUAGGGUGGAAUACUGCAGCUUAACUGCGGAACUGCCUUGGAAACUGCAUUGCUUGAGUCGGACAGGGGAAGGCGGAAUUCCAGGUGUAGCGGUGAAAUGCGUAGAUAUCUGGAGGAAGGCCUGUGGUGAAGACGGCCUUCUGGGUCUUGACUGACGCUGAGGCGCGAAAGCGUGGGGAGCAAACAGGAUUAGAUACCCUGGUAGUC
rnacentral:rRNA from 1 species